UACAUAGGUCUCAAGCGUUGUUCGGAUUCAUUGGGCGUAAAGGGCGCGUAGGUGGCUCGGUAAGUCGGGUGUGAAAUUUCGGAGCUUAACUCCGAAACUGCAUUCGAUACUGCCGUGCUUGAGGACUGGAGAGGAGACUGGAAUUCAUGGUGUAGCAGUGAAAUGCGUAGAGAUCAGGAGGAAGACCAGUGGCGAAGGCGGGUCUCUGGACAGUUCCUGACACUGAGGCACGAAGGCCAGGGGAGCAAACGGG
rnacentral:rRNA from 1 species